rnacentral:lncRNA from 1 species
CUCGGCCCGCCGCGGCGGCUCGCGCCGUGGGUCCUGCUCGCGCUGCCUCCCUGCAGCGCCUUGCUCAGCGCGCCGCGUUAGCGUCUUUCACCUCUCUGCCUUCAAACCCAAGCGCUGGCGGAAGGAGUUUUCAUGCAUUUGUAGGUUGAUGACAAUGCUAUCAGAGGACUGGACUCCUUACUAGAAAAGAGCUUUGAAUUUACAAUUUUCAUUUCAUCCGAGCUAUUCAAGGGAAAAGAUCGUAG